UGGCUGAAGUUUUUCUUGCACGAUAUGCAGCUGCAUUGUAGAGGAGACUCAAACAACCGAGAUAGGGAGUGGUCAAACACGUUUGCAUCAUAUGUGCACCUCAGAGGUCAUUGUGGGACUUGAACCUGGAGCUUGUGCUUUGUUUUGGAACCGUGGAAACUAUAACAGAGGUUCACAGUGGGAUCGUGACUUUUGAGUUCUGCAAAACAGCAUCCAAAUUUUUUUUUUCCCAGUGCUGAGUCCCAGUUAGUGUUUUUUGUGACCCCCCUCAAGUUGUCCCAGACCUUGAUCUGGGAGAUAACAAACCUCCGGCUUUGGCCUAAUGGAAAAAGUGACAACCGGGGCCAGAUCUUCUCCCCGCUAAUUCACCUCCCUGCCUACUUGCUCUUUUAUGAUGAGUCAGGGAUGCCUGCUCUGCUGUAAAAUGGAUUGAAGGCACCUGCUGUCCAUGACAUCACGGUGUGUUCAGUGUUCGCAGCGGCGGGUAUGACACGAUCAUCCGCUGCGUGGUGAUUGCACAGUCACUUGCGUAAGACCCGCUGGUACCGCUCCAGCUGCACACCGCAUCCAAAGCUGCUGUUUAAUGUCAACUCCUGUCCUUGGAUCCGAGCUGUGACAUGACCCGGAAAUUUUGUUUUGCUUAAUAUGUUGCUAAUAUUGCUUUUUUGGUGUUUUUUUUAAAGCUGUCAGAAGCCACUGUUUGCUUGACUCAUUACUGAAAGUGUAUUCAGCUCUGAAUUUAUCAGGCAGUGGUGGCUGAAUAAACAGCGCAGAGCCUUCAGGCCAACCAAGUUAGAAACUGAACAAACUCAAACUAGAAGAUAAUGUUUCAGCAUCAGCCAGGUUUGGUCGAUUAGAUACAGUACCUGAUGAGGAGAGCGAGCAAGUUGUUCAAGGACGGUGUGGCGACACCUGCAUGUUAAUACCUCCACCGAGCAUAACUUUGUAGUUCAUAUCCUUUUUUUUUUGCCAUUUCAGUAACAUCGGAACCGUUCCUACACUCUCAAGAAUGUGAAUUGAAUAGACUUGUGUCUGUUUUAGUGGCUUGCUCACACACAAACACAUUUUGGUUACCGUAGAGCUGUUCAUUAUGCCCUAGAAUCAAAAAUAGUACAUUUCUAUUGUCCUAUUGAAGUUAUCUGUUGAGAGCCAGGAAGUAGCCUGUCAACAUACAAACCAUUAUUUGCCCUUUUUGCUCUUUAAUGUUGCGUUCGAACGUUCCGCAGAAUCAUUUACCAUGUUCAUUUGUCUGUUAUGGAAUCAAUGUGAGUACUAAAAUCAUUGGUCCCCCCUCCCCCAGGUGGGUUAAAUUAGGGUGAUUGUGUUUAUUUACUGUGUUUACAUGCUUAAUCCCAGAGCAGCGUUACAGUGAUGGCCGCUCCUUGAACAAUAGAAGUGUAUUGUUUCAGUACGGUUAACUACACAAGCUAUUUAUUAUUACAUUUUUUUUUCUCUCUGGUAACAUUUAAACGCCUGUAAUGUAAUGUAAUUAAAGUUAAUUUCUUUGGUCCUGAUUGUGCAUGUGUGGUUAUGUGUAUUAAAUAAAAAAAAGAGUGUUAAUUAUGAGUAUAUAUCAUUUGUUCAUACAGAUGACAAGUUUUAAAGUAGUCUUCUUUGAAAAAAAAAAAGUUAAUUUCGUUUUAUUUAUGUCUCUUUGGUGCUGA